rnacentral:rRNA from 1 species
UGGAAGUAAAAAAACGUAACAAGGUUUCCGUAGGUGAACCUGCGGAAGGAUCAUUACCGAGUGCGGGCCCUCGUGGCCCAACCUCCCCCACCUUGUCUCUAUACACCUGUUGCUUUGGCGGGCCCACCGGGGCCACCUGGUCGCCGGGGGACAUCUGUCCCCGGGCCCGCGCCCGCCGAAGCGCUCUGUGAACCCUGAUGAAGAUGGGCUGUCUGAGUACUAUGAAAAUUGUCAAAACUUUCAACAAUGGAUCUCUUGGUUCCGGCAUCGAUGAAGAACGCAGCGAAAUGCGAUAAGUAAUGUGAAUUGCAGAAUUCCGUGAAUCAUCGAAUCUUUGAACGCACAUUGCGCCCCCUGGCAUUCCGGGGGGCAUGCCUGUCCGAGCGUCAUUUCUGCCCUCAAGCACGGCUUGUGUGUUGGGUGCGGUCCCCCCGGGGACCUGCCCGAAAGGCAGCGGCGACGUCCGUCUGGUCCUCGAGCGUAUGGGGCUUUGUCACUCGCUCGGGAAGGACUGGCGGGGGUUGGUCACCACCAAAAUUUUACCACGGUGACCUCGGAUCAGGUAGAGACCAUC